rnacentral:rRNA from 1 species
AUUGAACGCUGGCGGCAGGCCUAACACAUGCAAGUCGAGCGAGCGGCGGACGGGUGAGUAAUGUCUGGGAAACUGCCUGAUGGAGGGGGAUAACUACUGGAAACGGUAGCUAAUACCGCAUACCAUCAGAUGUGCCCAGAUGGGAUUAGCUAGUAGGUGGGGUAACGGCUCACCUAGGCGACGAUCCCUAGCUGGUCUGAGAGGAUGACCAGCCAACCUGGAACGGGGAAACGGCCCGGACUCCUACGGGAGCAAGAAGUGGGGAAUAUUGAACAAUGGGCGCAGGCCGAAUGAAGCCAUGCGGGGGGUUGGAAGAGGGCCUUCGGGUGUAAAGCACUUUCAGCGGGGAGGCGUUACCCGCAGAAGAAGCACCGGCUAACUCCGUGCCAGCAGCCGCGGUAAUAC